rnacentral:lncRNA from 1 species
UAAAAUUCAAAGAGAUAAAAGAGACUUGAAAGAAACUGCGGGAGUUGAAUUUAUAAAAUAUUUCAUUCACUUGAACAACUCUAUAGAAAUUGUUUUCUCUUCUCCUUCCUUUUUUUAUACAUUUUCAUUUUUUUUAGAAGGAAUAUGUAUUGACAUGUAUUGACAUCCUUCUAUUUUUUUCAUUCAUUUUUUUCUUUUCUAUUUUCUUUUUCUAUUUUUUUUCUUUUUCUGCCAACUUCUGAAAUAUUACAAACAUAAUUAUUCAACCUCACACAACUCCAAACAAGACUCUUCAACCCUUUGAAUAGGGUGAUAACAUUGUUUUUCACUUCUCGGCUUGUAAUGAGUUUUAAACAAAAAAGGGAGAAUAGGCUCAAGGGGGUUUCAAACAAGGGAUGAAAUUAUUUCAGGGUUGGCUUUUUGGCUAACUGGCUAAAAAAACAAAAAAAAAUUAUCUUUAUCAUAUCAGUGUGCACAAGUAAACAACAUCAUCAACAAGAGUCAAUUCAAG